rnacentral:snoRNA from 1 species
GAAGGCAGGUGAUGUAAAGUUUUUUAUGCUUACAUACUGAAACAUGAAUGUAGACUAAUAACUCCGCUUAUUAUCUGAUGCCUUU